AUUGAACGCUGGCGGCAUGCCUUACACAUGCAAGUCGAACGGUAACAGGUCUUCGGAUGCUGACGAGUGGCGAACGGGUGAGUAAUACAUCGGAACGUGCCUAGUAGUGGGGGAUAACUACUCGAAAGAGUGGCUAAUACCGCAUGAGAUCUACUGAUGAAAGCAGGGGAUCGCAAGACCUUGUGCUACUAGAGCGGCCGAUGGCAGAUUAGGUAGUUGGCGGGAUAAAAGCUUACCAAGCCGACGAUCUGUAGCUGGUCUGAGAGGACGAUCAGCCAGACUGGGACUGAGACACGGCCCAGACUCCUACGGGAGGCAGCAGUGGGGAAUUUUGGACAAUGGGCGAAAGCCUGAUCCAGCAAUGCCGCGUGCAGGAUGAAGGCCUUCGGGUUGUAAACUGCUUUUGUACGGAACGAAAAGCCCUGGGUUAAUACCCUGGGGUCAUGACGGUACCGUAAGAAUAAGCACCGGCUAACUACGUGCCAGCAGCCGCCGUAA
rnacentral:rRNA from 1 species